CACACACACCAAAAAAAAAAAGCGGUAAAAGAAAAAGUCAUUUCUCCUGUUCAGGGUUCCUAGAGCGAAUGUCUCAUUGUGUAUCACUAGUUGUCAUAUCCUGAAAGUUUCUUGCCCCAUGUUGAUUCAGAUGUGAGUUGAGGUUUAUUAGUGUGUAUAACUAGAUGUAGAAGAGAAUUAUGCUUGCCAUGGUUUUGGUAAUGCUUUAAAUUAUGAGCCCUGGAAUAAAAUCUGCACGUUAUAUUUUGGUGCCUUUGUAAUGAGAUUGCUUUUUAUCACCUCGUUCACCAUUUGAUUGUUUCUACUCCCCUUUCUCUCAUAUUUACUAAUUUCCCACAAGUUCGAUCAUAUUCUUGCCUUGAGCAUUCUUUCAUGCUCAAGAAACUUCAUGUGUAGUAGUAGUAGUAGUAAGUAGUGGAUGGUUGAUGUCCCUUUGCUAGUCUUGUGGUUUGCUUGUUAUGUGACAAGCUCCCAUUGAUAUAUCUGGCAAGACAUUUAUAGUGGUUAAUGCAUUAUUGCAUUAAUUAGUAGAACUCAGUGUCACAUAAUUUGCACUGAAACUCAUUUUUUUUAAAGCAAAAAAUUUGAUAAGCAUAUCAUCCAAAAAUCAAUUUUUUUUGCUUUAAUAAAUAUAAAAAGGGGCCACGUGGGUCCCGGUCAUCGCUCGUCAUGCUUUGCAACCUUAGAUGGAAUCACCUGAAGGGCAGUGCUGGGCAAUUCCAAAAAAUUCGGGCUUAUCUCUGUCGCACGAAUCCGCUUUCUGCUCCACCUCGGUCUACUUCGUGAAUGGGCAUCACGCUGUGGGCCCGACUGUACACUACCUGGAAUAAGGGAGGCUUUAAAAACGGGUAGAUUGAAACAUCAAGUUUUAUUCCUCGACCGUGGAACACAAGUUUUAAGCUAAUUUGAUUCCGCUACCGUCGACCUAUCAUUUUAAGAACCCGGUCAGGUUCACUGAAUCGGCCCGCAGCGGUCUCCUCGUUGAUCGGCAUUCUUUCUCUCUUCGUGUAUCUAUGGCGGCGGCGGCGGCGGCAGCCGAUGGGUUUCGAGCUCUGGACGAGGCAUCCUUGGUGGAGUACAUCAAGGCUACGCCGGCUCUCCGCGCCCAGUUGGGCGAACGGUUGGAGGGCCUCGCCAUUAAGGAAGUCGGCGAUGGCAAUCUCAACUUCGUCUACAUCGUCGCUGGCCCCGCCGGAUCCUUUGUCAUCAAGCAGGUAGUUUUUCUGAGUGUUUGAUUUAGCUUUUGUGCAUUGUUUGCUGUAUGUGGACUUCAUGGCCACUGGGGUUUCGCUUUCGGACCGUAUGAUCGUGGCUAGAUCUGAAAGGAGGAGGGACUGAUGCUUGAGAAGAUAAGGUUUCCGAUGGUAUGAAUAAUUGCUUGUUCGCACUUAUUCAUUGAAGUAAGGUAUAGUGUUUGGAAAAUGGAUGUUGAAGUAGAGGAAAUGCAUAAAAGCAAAGCGCAUAGGAUACAGGCAAAGCCCAGUGAUGUUUCCUUGAAUACUACGACUUCUGCACGAUAUAGAUGCAGGAUUCUUCUGGAGGUCCAGCCCCUAAUAUCCAACGCUGAGAUUGCUAGUCUAUCAAAAAUUACAGUGGGUGUGUAAAACAGAGAUGUCUCCUUUGAGAGUCUGGAUGGCUGAAAGUUGUUGGUGAGACAGAGAUAAAAGGGAAAAUAGAAACUUAAGUUGCAACCAUGCUUGUUAACUGGAAUAUUUUUCUUAACAUCGAUUUCUCCACUCCAUGGAUAUUCCGUUCCUAGGAUCUCUAAGAUAUGAAAUUCUUGGUUGAUCUAUGGGAACAAUAUUCAAUUCUCAGUAGAAUAGAAGGUGUGUUUUAGUGUGAAUGACAAAACAUUAUUUAGAGGCAAUAGGAAAGAAGAAACUUGCGAGAGAUUGAAAUUUGAAGAGAGGAAACUGCCUUAUUUGUUUAAGGCUAAUGUCAUAUAUUUAGAGAAGUAGAGAAGUUCCAAGCAUGAGGCCAUGAAUUAUAUUAGGAGGAAAAUCCAAUCGUAAUAUUCUUGAAAGAUGGUAAUAUAAUGUGUUUCAUCAAGAUGAGAGUCUGAGUAACAUUGUUGGGUUCGUAGUUGUCGAUGAUUGGUAGACUGUACUUUCAUGUUUCUUGCGACCACACUCCUAAAACUUAUUAUAUACUGUUAUAUCCAUUUGCUUGACUUUCUUAUAAAGAUUUAAUUGCUUGGUUGAUGUUCAUGUCAAAAUAAUGGUUUAUAUGCAUGUUGCUGAAGAUGCUACAUGGCGUUGACGUGCUAGCUUUUGAAAUGUAUCUCUGCUUAAUGACUACUUUAUUUGGUUUUAUAUGAAUGACAUGGCUUGCUUAGAACUGAAAGUGAAAAGUCUUUCAGUUUUUCUGUGUCAAACAUUGUUGUUCCUCCCUUUGUAGUGUAAGAACAAAACCAUUUCUUGUAUUUGAUUUAUUUUUCUUCGAAUAUUUCUUCUGCAUAAUGUAUCACUUAUAUGGAAUUUUGCUUUUUGUUUAAAAAUUAUAUGAUAUUAGCUGUAUCCUCCUUUCUACUUUUCUGAUCUGAAUCAAGUUGAUCUCAUUUGUCUGCAUUGCAAACAGGCUAUUCCAUAUGUUCGCUGCAUUGGUACUUCAUGGCCUCUGACGAAGGAGCGUGCUUAUUUUGAGUCACUAGCCUUAAAAGAGCAUGGUAGUCUGUGCCCAAAUCAUGUGCCACAAGUUUACCAUUUUGACCGACCGAUGUCUUUGAUUGCUAUGCGUUACUUGGAGCCUCCGCACAUAAUUUUGCGGAAAGGGUUAAUUGCUGGAAUUGAAUAUCCACUGCUUGCACAACACAUGUCGGACUUUUUGGCGAGAACACUUUUCUUCACAUCGCUUCUUUAUCAUGCCACAUUAGAGCAUAGACAUGCAGGUACAAUUGUUAAUUAUAAAUCAUGACUAUAAUGAGCGAAUAUUGUUUGAAGUAUUUUAUUAUUUAGUUCAUACUGUUCAUUUUGCUUGAACUUUAUAACUUCGUUUGUAUGCAUCUAGAAACAAGAUUUUAUUGUUUAUUUUGCUUGAUCUUUAGAAGUUUCUCAUUGUGUACCUAGGAACAAGAUGUUUAAGUUGAUGAAUUUAAAAAUUUUGAGAUUCUUUAUCUCCUUAUUAUCUUGUCUUUUUCAAUUCUUUUACUUGUAAUUAUCAAAUUCUUGACAGAUUUUUUAAGGCCCUUCUAUGUUUUUUUUUCUUUUGCUUCUUUUGGUGUCAUCAUUUGCACGGUGAUAUAUAUGUUGCUUGUUUUGGUGAUAUAUAUGUUGAUCGAGGACAAUUAGUGUUCUUGCUUCAAUAAGUCGUAGAGAUGAGCAGAACCAGGAAAUUAGGUGCUUCUCGCCAGCCACAUGCAUUCUGUCUUGCAACUAUAUCAUAUUAUUUUUCUAUUUUCUGUUUGAUAGAUAAAUAUUGAUUGCAUAACAUGCAGCUGUACCUUUUUUAUCAUUUAUUUGCUUAUGUUGACAAGCUUUUGAAUUUAAUUUUGCAGUUGCGGAAUUUUGUGGGAAUGCAGAGCUAUGCAGGCUCACUGAGCAAGUUGUCUUUUCAGACCCAUAUAAGGUGGCUCAAUAUAAUCGGUGGACUUCGCCACACCUUGACCAUGAUGUUGAGGCUGUUCGGGAUGAUGACAUUUUGAAGAUUGAAGCAGCUGAAUUGAAGUCCAUGUAUACUUGUGUUUCAACAUGCAUCUCUUAUCACGUUUUCCUUUUGUUUUUAGUCCAUGGACCUCAUUUGGUUUUCUUUUUCCUUGUAUACCUACUGCUGCCUAAAUCUUGUCAUGUAGGUUCUGUGAGAGGGCACAAGCUUUAAUUCAUGGAGAUCUGCAUACUGGUUCUAUCAUGGUGACUAGUGAUUCAACACAGGUCAUUGAUCCAGAGUUUGCAUUUUAUGGACCUAUGGGGUUCGACAUUGGGGCUUUUUUGGGAAAUUUGAUUUUGGCCUUCUUUUCCCAAGAUGGACAUGCUGAUAAAGAUAAUGAUCGGAUGGUAUGGAUGAGAUAAGAUUAUAAAUAUUUAUAUUUUCAUUUAUCACAGGCUUCUAAUCUUUUCUAGAUUUGCUGUAGCAUGCAGAAUAAUUUGAAGUAGAAAUGCAUGUAAGCGUAAGACAACUAUUGGAAAUUCCUUCAACAUCCUUCUUUUUAUUGCUUCUGAGGCAUUAUUUUCUUCAAUUCUGUGUCCAAAUCUGCAGUCUAUAUUAGGUUUUGAGCUAUAAACCCAUGUUUCAAUUUCAAAUGUGGUGUCAAUAUAUUAUGGCUAAUGAGCCAGGUUUUGCAUUAUAUUGGCUGGAAUCACUUUGCUAAUAUUUAUGCUAAGAUAUGACUGAAGUGUUAAUAAAUUUAUGCUAAUAUUUGAAUGAUGAAUAAUGAUGAUAUCUUAUUGAUUAUUUUUGGGACCAAUUGAAUCAUUGGUGUGUUACACCAUGUUUUAACCAAAGUAAAAGAUCAUUGUGAUGUAAAAUUUUGAAGUUAAAAUAUAGAUAUAGAAACACAAAAAAGGCAAGUAGAUAUUUGAAGGAGUUUGGUAGCAGUGCAUCAGAGCAUCAUUUUAUCUUAGCAACAUAUGCAAGCUUGUUUUUGAUAUUCUGUCAUGUGGACAUAUGAGAUGAGAACAUAAAUAGCAGAAGAAACUACAAGGAAGCAAUUGGCUAACAACAAAAACAUAAAUAGAGGGGUGAGAGAAAAUCAAUAAUGUCCCACCAUAAUUCUGUUUUACUAUCAAGUAAGCUGAUAUAUAGGUGAGUUUCUUGGGUUAUACAGAGGCUACUAUGAUGAUAAGAGAAAAGUUGAUUGCUAUCUGGCUAAAAACCAGAGUUGGUGGAACUUGAUGGGGAUCAUGGCCCUGAAAAUUUCGUGAGUUUCUCAGUCGUUAUGUUGUUCUGAAAAGUCAUUAAGAAUUUUGGUAAAAAUAAGUAAAACUUCAGAAAUUUAGCAUACCUAAGCUUGAUAUUUGUGAGCUACCCUGGUGGAAAUUUUGAUCAUGGAGUAGUUUGGAGGUAAUUUUUGCAGCACAGUUAUCUUCUUUCUUUGAUAUUGACAUUUUCUGAUACUUGUGACUCUUAAUAGGUUGCUCAGUUUGCUUUCCAAAUGAAAGUUUAACUGCGACGACCAAUAUUUCCUUUAUAACUAUUAUUAGUAUUCUCACGGUGAUAUCAUGUUGCAGGUAUAUAAACAGUGGAUUUUGAGGACAAUUGAAGAAACUUGGAAUCUUUUUCAUCAUAAGUUUGUGUCUCUCUGGAAUGAAAACUUUGAUGGGCAUGGUGAGGCAUAUCUUGUAGAUAUAUAUAACAAGCCAGAACUGCAGCUUCUUGUCCAGAAAAAGUACAUGACUGAUUUAUUUCAUGAUGCUCUUGGAUUUGGUGCUGCUAAGAUGAUAAGGUACUUCUUGUUGAGUUCUAUUUUAGUGCGUCAUACUUCUAUCAUCUAUGAUUAGGAUCGGAAAGCUAAGGUCGAAGAAAGUUAAUGCAUUUUAGUUUCUUGGUUUAAAUGCACAAAAAACUAUAUCAUGUUUACUAAUGCAUGGCCAAUGACUCUUCACACGGAAUUUACUCCCACUUGAUUAAAGCCUUAAGGUCAAAAUGACUCACAGGUUAAAUAUGUUGAGCUUAGCAUGAAACUAGUUUAUGCAUUCCAGUUUCAUGGACUGCAAGCACAAGAAUCUGUAUCAUGAUUACUAAUGCAUAAUUAAUGAUACUUUAACAAGGAAUUUCCUUCCUCUUGUUCAAAAGUUAAAUGGCUGAUAGUUCAAAUAUGUUGUUAAUUGUCUUUAUUAGAAUUAUAUAUAACGGCUAGGUCAUUUGAUUUUUCAGAGUUGUGGUGAAUAGUGAAAUCUGAAUUUUGUAACCAGUAACAUCAAGGUCCUUCGCUGGGCAUGUGACCGCAUGACAAGGAAAUUUUUUACAGAUCUGAUGAUAAAUCAUGGUACAUUGGUUGUAUAUCGCUAUAUGCUGGUAACUUAAGGGGCUGCAAGUCUUCAAUCUUGCUUUCAAUCGUAAUUCAAGUUUCUCAGUUGUGUAAUUUGUUGCUAUAUAUGUUAGCAAAAUGUAAGAUCGUAGGACUUUCCUGUUUUACAUUGUGAGUACAUAAGUAGUUAUAUACCACACACAAGGGGAUAAUGUAUAUCUUCUGAGCCAUGCCUUUUAUGUUCCUGUCAUUCUUCUGUCAACAUGCCGAAAAACUUGACCUUUUGUUCGGGUAAAUGGUCGAGGAUCUAGAUAUCUAUUAUUCUUCAUGCCUGAAGAAGAAUGCUAUAUGAAUAUUUGGCUUCUCUGGUUCUUUUUCUGAUUCAAUACACAGUGAAGUUAUGAAUCAUAUAUCCUGUCUGCUAAUAAAGCUCAUUUUCAUAGUCAUAAUUAAUCUGAAACAGAUUUGGAAGAGUUGUACGUUAGCUUUCUUGUUAAACUCUUGUCGAGUUUUAGUUUCAGCGUUCUUCAGAAGUAAAAGAUUGAUGAAUUCAAGUUUGAAUGUUUGUGUUUUCUGCUUUCACUAAUCGUUGGCUGGCUUUCAGGAGAAUUGUUGGGGUAGCUCAUGUUGAAGAUUUUGAAUCAAUUAGUGAUGUAACCAAGCGGGCAUCGUGUGAACGUCGUGCCCUGGACUGUGCCAAAACAAUUCUCAAGGAAAGGCGCAAGUUUGAAACAAUAGGCCAAGUCAUUUCAGUCGUCCAGGAGAUUUCAGCUCCCUAACAGUUGGAGAAAUACACAAAAAAAAAAUGGAAAAAGAAAAAGGAUGCCUGUUUCCCAGUAAAAGCUAUAAUAAAAAAACGAAUGGAUGUUUCUCCUGUUCCGGGUUCCUAGAGCACAUAUCUCAUUGUGUAACUGAGAAUGAUUGCUCUAUUACUAGUUGUCAUAUCCUGAAAGUUUCUUGCCCCAUUUUACUCGUGUAAUCAUUUGGGGGAAAAAAACCAAGUUGAUUCAGAUGUGAGUUGAGGUUUAUAAGUGUGUAUAACUAGAUGUAGAAAAGAAUUAUGCUUGCCAUGGUUUUGUUAAUGCUUUAAAUUAUGAGCCCUGGAAUAAAAUCUGCU
rnacentral:lncRNA from 1 species